rnacentral:lncRNA from 1 species
GCAACAGCACACCACAAGCAAAGGGUCCCUGCAGAUGGCGGGGUGCAGAGGGCUUUGUGCUGUGGUUUGCUAGCAGUGCAUGCCCUUGUUUUAUUCUGUGGACGUCCAGAAGAAUGGACAGAAGUCCAUUCUGCCACUGCUCGCUAGUAAGCAAAGGGCACAGGGGAGAAAACCUGCUUGAAAUGGGUAGGUGCAAAACCCCCGAGCAACCUCUGGGAGUGUCUAUUCCCACACCUGCUCCUCCUGCCUUUGGUGCUUGUUACGUUCAUGCCCUGCUUGUUCCCAAAGCUCUGGGUGCCCUGCAAUGGGGUCAAUGGGUGCUGCAGGGUUGGCGAG